rnacentral:rRNA from 1 species
UACGAAGGGGGCUAGCGUUGCUCGGAAUUACUGGGCGUAAAGCGCACGUAGGCGGCUUUCUAAGCCGGGGGUGAAAUCCUGGAGCUCAACUCCAGAACUGCCUUCGAUACUGGAAGCUCGAGUCCGGGAGAGGUGAGUGGAACUGCGAGUGUAGAGGUGAAAUUCGUAGAUAUUCGCAAGAACACCAGUGGCGAAGGCGGCUCACUGGCCCGGUACUGACGCUGAGGUGCGAAAGCGUGGGGAGCAAACAGGG